AAUAGAUACCCAGGUAGUCCACGCCGUAAACGAUGAAUACUAGGUGUAGGGGUUGUCAUGACCUCUGUGCCGCCGCAAACGCAUUAAGUAUUCCGCCUGGGGAGUACGGUCGCAAGAUUAAAACUCAAAGGAAUUGACGGGGGCCCGCACAAGCAGCGGAGCAUGUGGUUUAAUUCGAAGCAACGCGAAGAACCUUACCUAGACUUGACAUCUCCUGAAUUACUCUUAAUCGAGGAAGUCCCUUCGGGGACAGGAAGACAGGUGGUGCAUGGUUGUCGUCAGCUCGUGUCGUGAGAUGUUGGGUUAAGUCCCGCAACGAGCGCAACCCUUAUUGUUAGUUGCUACCAUUAAGUUGAGCACUCUAGCAAGACUGCCCGGGUUAACCGGGAGGAAGGUGGGGAUGACGUCAAAUCAUCAUGCCCCUUAUGUCUAGGGCUACACACGUGCUACAAUGGCAAGUACAAAAGAUGCAAUACCGCAAGGUGGAGCCAAACUUAAAAACUUGUCUCAGUUCGGAUUGUAGGCUGAAACUCGCCUACA
rnacentral:rRNA from 1 species